GGCUGGUCUGAUGGUAGUGGGUUAUCAAAAUUUAUUAACAUUAGUGUUACUAAAGUUGGUAUACAACCCCCUACUGCUAAAUUUGACUGGCUUUAG
rnacentral:Y_RNA from 1 species